UGGCCAUGAUUUAGUCAGCGGUCGUAGCAGACCAGUGUGUGAUGAUCCGUAGAUCUAUCAUUUGCGUUUACAGAUGCUGUGACCGUAACUGCAACGGUUUGUUAGUUGUUCCUUCGAGUGUGCCUUUAUUUAUGGACCAUCCGGAACAGAUCUAAGCAGUCUAUAGCAGAGGCUGCUAAAGCAACCAGAUGGCGCAAGCAGGUCCAGGCCGCCAAGCGUUUACUACCUCCUUAUCUUCUACGAUUCGACAACGGAAAAAGCCCCUGCCGUCGACUAACACCAAAUUAUUCCUACGACAACGCAUCGAUGCCCCAGCAGCUCGUUCAACCGGAAGCGAGCUAUCAACAGCCCAACGUAGAUCUAAUCAGCAAAACGCACAACCAUUUGUGGGAUCAUCGAACAUCUAAGUGUAUCGUUCCGGCCCUUCAAUGUCUGCGAUUUUUACAAAUUAAUUGCUACCGAUUUUAAUAGGAAUAGUUAUUACCAUUGUUAUUGUUAUCGCUGCUGUUUGUGUUUACAUAUUUGGUGAAAAAAUAAAUGUAGUUGUUAUUAUUCAAAAGCAGAACACGUAAUAUCACGGCGACAGCUGAAGCCACUUCAAGCGUUUGCAUGAACGGGGACGAUGAGGAGAUAUCUCUGAACGCGAAAUUAUUUGAAUGCAUUAAUACAGUGAUAGAGAUAUCAUAAAUAGGCCUCUAGUUGUCACAGGGGAUGCCGCUGAUAGGUUACUACCGUUUCGUUGCCUACCUCCCGGGUCCGAGAAUUCAUAGUUAGUACCUUCUCGAUCGCAAAAUGACAUUUUAACUAUUUAACGUAAUCGUGCCUGACAUCCCAGAAGUAGAUGUUUCCCUCGAAUAGCCAUGAUCUAGCUUUAAUACGGUCAAUGGUUCAUUAAUGAGGGUUCGAAUCGGAUAGGGUAAUAAUCGGAUUCUACGAAAGUAUGUGAGUCAUAUAGUCUCUGACUUAUAUCGCUCCAAAAAUCUAUGCUUGUACAGCUUACCAUACUAGUAUAAUAUAGGGUCUCUGUUACUUAUGUACUUUGAUUUGAGAUAUCUAGUCUGCAGUAUGACUAAGAUGUUAAGCACUCAUCAUCGACCAGAGAAUUGUGUACUAUGUGCAUGAACGUUUAUAAUCAUUCAUCGAGUUCCUAUAUCAUCAUCGAGUUAGUCGAGAAUGGUACGGGUCUUCCAUCACUCAUUACAACCGAAGUCUUCCCCAGUGUGUCGCGUUUCGUCUAAACGUGACACUCGUAUUAAGCUUUUCCAUACACGUUCGACACGAAGCAUUCGUGUUUCUCUCUAGGCGGUAUGACUUUUCACUUACUACUAGCAUCUAGUAAAAUAGGUAGGUUGGGCAAUUGAAAGCGGACAGGUAACUUGAAGCCAGUUACCCUUCAAUUGAAAACAUAUUAGAUGGAAAAUGUUCUCGUGCUUAAGCAACUCCCGCCGUUCUUCUAAAUCUGAUGACAGUCGUAUGAAGGCAUCUUUGAAGAAAGACUGUUGAAAAUAUGGGCUAGGCCACGCAGUUGUGGUAAACAACAUGAAGUCGCAUCGGCCUAUGCAAAACGUUGGGCUUGAGUGUUUCAUGGCCUUUUUUAAGCCGACAAAGAAUUGCGGCUCAACGCUUCGCUCGGUAUUGGCCGUCAUGCGACCACAAUAACAACUUUUUUUGCACAGAAUUCACCAAUAACGGGAACUUCAGUCGAAAGGCCAAAGCUUAGAGCCCAAGUAGAUCUCUAUCGAAAAAAAGAAGGUUAUGCUGAGUUUGAUUCACUGGGAACUGUUUCAUACGAGCCAGACAAUUGAUCGCCACGUUUGUUUGUUUCAGUUAUAUCGAGUUAAGUAGGACGGACAUUCAAGAGGAACGCGACAGACAAGCUCAAGCCCUUCUGCUCCGUGACGACGCGAGAGACGCUUACUUCGAAUAGGAGGAUUGGCUGCAUCUUACAUAUUCUUCGAAUAUUGAGCCGGUGGAUUUUCAACUUUAUCAUUCACAGCCAAAUCACUGUCGCGGCCUUCUUCAACAUGUAUCAACAACGCAAAAUGUAGUUGGAGGAAACCUUCGUGACGAGACACAUGGAUCGAUCCUGCGAUAACUUAGACUGAAGAUUUUUGCUCACGUCAACACCGUAAUACGUCCGUUGAUGCCAGAUUAUCCGUACAGGCAUUUGGAUAACAACGCGAUCGACGUAGUACGGCGCGCUCAAUUGUCCGGCCACUUAUUUCGUGCGACCGAGGGUUUGCGCCAACGUUUUGGCACCAUUGGCCGCGGCAAUACGUUAUACAGGAAACUGCCAGCGGUGGCGAAGUCAGCACCGACGAAAAACAUUUUCGGGGUUAUUAUUCCGAAGGGCUCCGAUUCUGGCAAUAUCAAAAGGAUCGCGUUUACCGCCUGCUUCUGAUCAGACGAAAAAGAAUCGGGGAGAGAGGGAAACGGAAGAAAGCUCAAAGGAAAGGCUCCAACAGCAACCGGCAUUAGCAAUUGCUGCGGCCUUAUCAACAAGAAUAACAAUGAGAACCAUAUUAACAGCAAGGGGUUGUUGUAAAAGAUCCAUUGGAGGCAAAUGCGUAUGGACCGGAAGGAAUCGUAGAGCACCCCCUAUCUAAGUAUCCUUCUCGUGGCUGUACUAUCGAGGACCCUCGUCGACGAAAUGCUGAUGUUCUCCUCUUUCGGUUGGAAAAAUAUCACCGGCACAAAACCAAGGAAAUAUGCAAACGGAGCGAAAUUGCCGUUGGCUUGCUAUUAAGUGUCGAAUGCCUAAUUCUAUCGAAGGUAUUAAGAGCAACGGCUAGUAGCGUCAAAGUAGGGGCCAUAAAUAUUUAUAGACGAGAAUGCACGAAAAGGAAUCGGGUCCGGUGACAAGUCCUGCGACGAACGCAAUGAAGACGACGUACUACUGCGAUAAGAAGGCAAAAAUUACAGGGGGUCACGGGUUUUACGAAUUUUUUUUUCGUUACGUUCCUCGCAGCUGUCUUGGUGCUCCUAUUUUUAUCACCGCAUCGCUAUACUGUCAUUAUUAAAGAUUGUGAAUAUCGUCCUUUUAUACAGACAUUUAUUCAAAUAGAUUAGGUCGACGAUUUGAAAUACUAUUAUUUUGUGUUUGUAGCAUAUUUGUUGAAACAUGGCACCUUGCCCUGCCCUAAAUUAUAAUGUUCUCAAACAUAUGUUAGCGUCAAACGCACCUGCGGCCAGAUAAUGCUACGGCCCUCUCUUUGGGGCCAGUACAAAUAACAAAAAAACGAGGCGAAGUUUUUAUUCGUACCGCUCGACUCUAUUACGUAUUGAUAUUAUCAUAUUAGGUCUGAUAGUGAACCCAUUCUGUCCAAUGGUACCGCUGCUACAGUACCUAUCUUACAAUUAACAAGCAUUUACAAGUAUUAACAUAAAAGUUAUCUCUGUAUUUUGUUGUUAGCGAACUUGAUUGAUAAUAAUAUGUUGGCUGUUCAAUUUAAUAAAUGAUACACACAUUUCAACCGGGAUUUGGUAGCCAGGUAAGGCUUAACUAAUUUACUUAUUUUUAGUGCCUUGACAUAAGAUUAGUUAGCCGACUAGCUCGGUAAGAUUUAACCGUUUAUAGGCUAUUUGAAAUGAGCUCCCACCAAAGACAGGACAUGCUGCAAAUUGCAAAAGGAUUACUUAUGAAAGACUUCGGCCCUUCUAACAAAGAACAUGGCGAUAUUCUUCAAAAAAGCAGUUCUUUAGAAAAGCUAAAUUCGAGUCGGCGACGUCAGGCAA